CAAAUACUCCAAUCUUAAGGAAAAGCAAAACAAGCAUAAUAUAUUCGGGACAUUUGUGAGACGUUUGGAAGGGAUAAAAUCUGUAAUUAAUUACACUCAAACAGGGAGAGUUAGAAGUGAACAUUUUAACCUUUCUAUAUUGCUCAUCAUAGGGAUGGUGCCAAUGGGGAGGCUAGUGGUAGUACCCGGCACUAUUUGACCCAACUAUUCGGUGUAGGGCAUAUUAGGGACGGCACAAGAGGGAGGCUAGUGGUAGUACCUCGUGCCCCUUCCCAACUCCACCGGAUAGGGAGCAAAUAGAGUAUAGAGCAUAAGAAA
rnacentral:lncRNA from 1 species